UACGUAGGUGGCAAGCGUUGUCCGGAAUUAUUGGGCGUAAAGCGCGCGCAGGCGGUCCUUUAAGUCCGAUGUGAAAUCUCGUGGCUUAACCACGAGCGGUCAUUGGAAACUGGGGGACUUGAGUACAGAAGAGGAGAGUGGAAUUCCACGUGUAGCGGUGAAAUGCGUAGAGAUGUGGAGGAACACCAGUGGCGAAGGCGGCUCUCUGGUCUGUGACUGACGCUGAGGUGCGAAAGCGUGGGUAGCGAACAGG
rnacentral:rRNA from 1 species